CCUACGGGUGGCUGCAGUAGGGAAUUUUGCGCAAUGGGCGAAAGCCUGACGCAGCAACGCCGCGUGAUCGAGACGCCCUUCGGGGUGUAAAGAUCUGUCAGUGGGGACGAAACUUGACGGUACCCACAGAGGAAGCACCGGCUAACUCCGUGGCAGCAGCCGCGGUAAUACGGGGGGUGCAAGCGUUGUCCGGAAUCAUCGGGCGUAAAGAGUUCGUAGGCGGGCUGUAAAGUAUGGUGUUAAAGGAGGGGGUUGAACUUCUGUAUGGCAAGGGAUACUUGCAGUCUAGAGUGCGGUAGAGGUACGGGGAAUUCGUGGUGUAGCGGUGAAAUGCUUAGAUAUCAGGAAGA
rnacentral:rRNA from 1 species